AGCUUGUUGGUGGGGUAACGGCCUACCAAGGCUACGAUGGGUACCGGGUGUGAGAGCAUGGCCCGGCUCACUGGGACUGAGACACUGCCCAGACACCUACGGGUGGCUGCAGUCGAGAAUCUUCGGCAAUGGACGAAAGUCUGACCGAGCGACGCCGCGUGCGGGAUGAAUGCCUUCGGGUUGUAAACCGCUGUCAGAGGGGAUGAAAUACCUGGGGGCUAUCCUCCAGGCUUGACAUAUCCUCAGAGGAAGGACGGGCUAAGUUCGUGCCAGCAGCCGCGGUAAGACGAACCGUCCAAACGUUAUUCGGAAUUACUGGGCUUAAAGGGUGCGUAGGCGGUGUGGUAAGUUGGGUGUGAAAUCCCUCGGCUCAACCGAGGAACUGCGCCCAAAACUGCCAUGCUAGAGGGAGACAGGGGUAAGCGGAACUGAUGGUGGAGCGGUGAAA
rnacentral:rRNA from 1 species